GAUCAUGGCUCAGAUUGAACGCUGGCGGCAGGCGUGACACAUGCAAGUCGAGCGGAUGAAGGGAGCUUGCUCCUGGAUUCAGCGGCGGACGGGUGAGUAAUGCCUAGGAAUCUGCCUGGUAGUGGGGGAUAACGUCCGGAAACGGGCGCUAAUACCGCAUACGUCCUGAGGGAGAAAGUGGGGGAUCUUCGGACCUCACGCUAUCAGAUGAGCCUAGGUCGGAUUAGCUAGUUGGUGGGGUAAAGGCCUACCAAGGCGACGAUCCGUAACUGGUCUGAGAGGAUGAUCAGUCACACUGGAACUGAGACACGGUCCAGACUCCUACGGGAGGCAGCAGUGGGGAAUAUUGGACAAUGGGCGAAAGCCUGAUCCAGCCAUGCCGCGUGUGUGAAGAAGGUCUUCGGAUUGUAAAGCACUUUAAGUUGGGAGGAAGGGCAGUAAGUUAAUACCUUGCUGUUUUGACGUUACCAACAGAAUAAGCACCGGCUAACUUCGUGCCAGCAGCCGCGGUAAUACGAGGGUGCGAGCGUUAAUCGGAAUUACUGGGCGUAAAGCGCGCGUAGGUGGUUCAGCAAGUAUGGAUGUAGAAUUCCCCGUGGACUUCAAUCCUGGGAAACUGCAUUCCAAAACUACUGAGACUAGAGUACGGGUAGAGGGUGGUGGAAUUUCCUGUGUAGCGGUGAGAUGCGUAGAUAUAGGAAGGAACACCAGUGGCGAAGGCGACCACCUGGACUGAUACUGACACUGAGGUGCGAAAGCGUGGGGAGCGACACAGGAUUAGAUACCCUGGUAGUCCACGCCGUAAACGAUGUCGACUAGCCGUUGGGAUCCUUGAGAUCUUAGUGGCGCAGCUACGCGAUAAGUCGACCGCCUGGGGAGUACGGCCGCAAGGUUAGAGACUCAAAUGAAUUGACGGGGGCCCGCACAUAGCGGUGGAGCAUGUGGUUUGAUUCGAAGCACGCGAAGAACCUUACCUGGCCUUGACAUGCUGAGGACUUUCCAGAGAUGGAUUGGUGCCUUCGGGACUCUAGACACAGGUGCUGCAUGGCUGUCGUCAGCUCGUGUCGUGAGAUGUUGGGUUAAGUCCCGUCACGAGCGCAACCCUUGUCCUUAGUUACCAGCACCUCGGGUGGGCACUCUAAGGAGACUGCCGGUGACAAACCGGAGGAAGGUGGGGAUGACGUCAAGUCAUCAUGGCCCUUACGGCCAGGGCUACACACGUGCUACAAUGGUCGGUACAAAGGGUUGCCAAACCGCGAGGUGGAGCUAAUCCCAUAAAACCGAUCGUAGUCCGGAUCGCAGUCUGCAACUCGACUGCGUGAAGUCGGAAUCGCAUAGUAAUCGUGAAUCAGAAUGUCACGGUGAAUACGUUCCCGGGCCUUGUACACACCGCCCGUCACACCAUGGGAGUGGGUUGCUCCAGAAGUAGCUAGUCUAACCGCAAGGGGGACGGUUAC
rnacentral:rRNA from 1 species